UACAGAGGUGGCAAGCGUUGUUCGGAAUUACUGGGCGUAAAGGGCGCGUAGGCGGCCCGUCAAGUCCCGUGUGAAAGCCCCCGGCUCAACCGGGGAACGGCGCGGGAAACUAGCAGGCUUGAGUUCGGGAGAGGGAAGCGGAAUUCCGGGUGUAGCGGUGAAAUGCGCAGAUAUCCGGAGGAACACCGGUGGCGAAGGCGGCUUCCUGGACCGGCAUUGACGCUGAUGAGCGAAAGCUAGGGGAGCAAACGGG
rnacentral:rRNA from 1 species